AUGAGGAGACCCACCCAAGCGCAUCUCGUCGGCACUGCCGCGCUCUUCCUGCUGGCGGCCGCCAUCUCCGCGGCAACCGUUGCCGCGGUGACCUCGGAGGCCGAUGCCCUUCUAGCAUGGAAGACCAGCCUCGUCAAUGCGACCGCGCUAUCUAAUUGGACCCGGGGCACGCCGGUCUGUGAUUGGACAGGCGUGUUCUGCAACAUCAAUGGCGGGAUCAGGGGGCUAAAUCUCCCGGGACUCGGUCUCUCGGGCGAGCUUGACACGCUCGACACGGCGGCGCUUCCGGAGCUUGCCUCUCUGAACCUUCAGAGGAACAACCUCGGAGGCCCCAUCCCGGCCAGCAUAUCGCGGUUGCGCUCCCUCAAAGUAGUCGACCUCAGCGGCAACGGGUUCAACGGCUCCAUCCCGCCGCAGCUUGGUGACAUGCCCAGCCUCGCCGCCCUCUAUCUCUACGAGAACAACCUCAGUGGUGAGAUCCCACGCCAGCUCUGCAACCUUCUCUCCGUCCAGUCGUUGGACAUGUUCAACAACCGACUCACCGGGGAGCUCCCGAACUGCUGGUGCAACCUGCAGUCUCUGCGGUACAUGCGCCUGUCAAACAAUCGGCUCACCGGGGAGCUCCCGGAUUGCUGGUGGAACCUACAGGCUCUGGAGUCCAUGUUCCUGUCCAACAACUCCUUCUCAGGUGAAAUCCCGGCGGUUAAGCCAAGCCACAACUGCUCUCUCACGUCACUGUCUCUUGCCGGAAAUGCCUUUUCCGGAGCCCUCCCACUCCUAGAGGGUUGCAACUCGCUCGCUAUCCUCGACCUCAGCAGCAAUAUGUUUAACAACACCAUUCCACCACAGCUCAGUAGCAUGCGCAGCCUCACCGACCUCCGGCUCUACAAUAACAACCUCGUCGGCAACAUCCCGCACCAGCUCUGCAGCCACCUCUCCAUCCAGACACUAGACCUGUCAAACAACCGGCUCACCGGGGAUCUCCCGGACUGCUGGUGCAAAUUCCAGGCUUUGAUGUUCAUGGACCUAUCGAACAACCAUCUCACCGGCAAGCUCCCGGACUGCUGGUGGAGCCUAGAGGCUCUGAUUUUCAUGGAUCUAUCCAACAACUCCUUCUCAAGUAAAAUUCCCGCAGCUAUGGCAAGCCACAGCUGCUCUCUUAGGUCUCUUUACCUUGCUGGAAAUGGCUUCAUUGGUGCCUUCCCUCCCGUUCUAGAGGGCUGCAACUCGCUGUCCAGCCUGGACAUGGGGAAUAACAAGUUCUUUGGUGUUAUCCCUCCAUGGAUCGGAAGUCAGAUCCCAUUGUUGAGAAUCCUUAGCCUGAAAUCAAAUAAUUUCACUGGAGAAAUUCCUCUAGAGUUAUCACGCCUUUCGCAACUUCAGCUGCUCGACAUGGCAAACAAUAGCUUGACCGGCUCGAUUCCGGUAGCCUUCGGCAGCUUGACCUCCAUGAUGCAUCCAAAAAAUCUAUCGACUACAAAACCGUCUGACAAGUUUAAUUACUAUGACAGAAUCGACAUAAUUUGGAAGGGCCAGUACACGAUAUUUAGAAAAGAUAUCCAGUUAUUGGCCGGUGUCGAUUUGUCGGGCAAUUUGUUGUCUCGGUGCAUUCCUGAAGAGCUAACCAACCUUCAGGGCCUCCAAUUUCUAAACCUGUCCAGAAACAAUUUGUCAUGUAGCAUUCCUAAAAACAUUGGUAGUUUGACUUUUCUCGAGUCCCUUGAUCUAUCAUCUAAUGGCCUUACAGGAGCCAUUCCGUGGAGCAUCUCGAGCUUACCAUGGCUCGCCUCGUUGAAUGUCUCGAACAAUCUUUUGUCUGGCAAGAUACCCACCGGGAAUCAGCUUCAGACCCUGACUGACCCAUCAAUUUACUUCAACAAUUCUGGGCUAUGUGGAUUUCCUCUAAACAUUUCAUGUGCCAAUACUUCGCUUGCACCGGACGAGAGAAAUGGUGAAGAGGAGGACCACUGGAUGUACUACUGUGUGAUUGCUGGGAUUGUGUCUGGUCUCUGGUUGUGGUUUGGUACGCUCUUUACAGUUAAGUCCUGGAGAUGUUGUUUUCUUUCCUUCGUGAAUGGUAUGCAAUGUAAAAUUAUGAAAAAUUGA
rnacentral:rRNA from 1 species